CCGGCGGCUCCGUGCGCGCGCAGCUGCUGCACGCCGCCUGCCCGGCGCGCCGCCACCUGCGUCUCGAGGGGCUGCGGACCCUGAUCCUGUCCAACAAUCUGCUGACGCGCAUCCAGCUGACGACGGACGACGACGGACUGACGGCCGCCGAUGCCAGGCAGAACAGCGACGACGAGUGG